UCCAGUCAGGUGAGGUGCCCAGAGUACCUCCGAGCAGCACCACCGCCUUGCUGACAGUGACUGUGUGUCCCCCUAGCAACCCUCGAUGAUGUUGUGGAGGCCGGCGGGAGUGAGAAGACGGAGGAAGAGGCCCUGGCUGGGGCAAAUGAGGAGGAGGUGGGGCCGGGAACUGAGAAGGUGCAGGAGGAGGCUGCCUGCAUUGACGAGGCAGAGGAGGAGGCAGGCCCAUCCCUUGAAAAUGACGAGGAGUCCCCAGCCAGCGACCUGGUUGAGCAGGAAGACCAGCUUGCCCCCAAGGUGGACGGGAUGGACGAUGAAAGCCGUAAGUAUUCUGGAACCCGGCUCUGCUGAGGAGAAGUCCAGGUGUUGAGGAAGGGCGGGGGGUGCUUUCCUGCCCCUUUGGUUGCAGAGACACCCUGAUUCUGGGUUCCUCCUGGGAAAGGGGGUGAAGGAUGGGGUGAAAGAGACUGACUUCCCACAAAAGGGCCAUCCCAAGUCCUCGGGUCCCUGGAGGAAAGGAGGCUCUUUGUAUGGUGGGGGUAGGUGUCCGGGAACAUUGGGGGGUGUGCGUGUGAGGGCCUGUUGGUGUGAUUGUGAACCAGUGUGAGUGGGUGUGUUUUGUGGGGAGUCACUUGUGCCUUAGCACCACAUAGCUGUCCAGUUUCUCGUUGAACAGUCUCAUGAUGACCGCAGGCUAACUGUCCAUUCCCUCAUUCUCCCUGCACCCGCUGGGAGCAAGGUUUGGGGAAAAGGCUUUCCUUCCUCUGUUGGUCUUUCGUUUCCUCUUUUCUUCCCCUCUGCUUGGUGCAGACUUUCAUGCUGUUGUUUCAAACAUGUGCCAUGAACUCGAGCCUCUUGAGGUUGUAAGUGUCCCGAGGAGUGUUGUGAACGCUGUGCUCCCCCCGCACCUCCUGCCCACUCGGGGCAGCCACCCUUCCAGCCUCUGCUCAGGAGUGGUCUUUCAGACACCUCAUGUGCAUGACAUCAGAG
rnacentral:lncRNA from 1 species